UAUGAUCUCAAGAAAUGAAAUGGACAAUUCAAAAGGUCAUCCAUAAAUGGGCGUUGAGCCCUCUUUUGGGCUACCAAAAGUACCGUUCUUAAGCAUUAUAUGCUCUGGUAUGGCUCCUGACUUACUUGGGGAUUUUUUGAAAGAAAUGCUCAUUUUGUGCAUCAAUCCCUGCAUCCAUAGAGAAAUGAUCAGUUUGAAUAAAACUACUCCGUGUCGACCUUCUUCUAUCCUUGAUUUGCUCCUCGC
rnacentral:lncRNA from 1 species